rnacentral:rRNA from 1 species
ACGAACGCUGGCGGCGUGCUUAACACAUGCAAGUCGAACGAGAAGAGAUGAGAAGCUUGCUUCUAUUGAUUCGAGUGGCAAACGGGUGAGUAACGCGUAAGCAACCUGCCCUUCAGAUGGGGACAACAGCUGGAAACGGCUGCUAAUACCGAAUACGUUCUUUUUGUCGCAUGGCAGAGAGAAGAAAGGGAGGCUCUUCGGAGCUUUCGCUGAAGGAGGGGCUUGCGUCUGAUUAGCUAGUUGGAGGGGUAACGGCCCACCAAGGCGACGAUCAGUAGCCGGUCUGAGAGGAUGAACGGCCACAUUGGGACUGAGACACGGCCCAGACUCCUACGGGAGGCAGCAGUGGGGAAUCUUCCGCAAUGGACGAAAGUCUGACGGAGCAACGCCGCGUGAACGAUGACGGCCUUCGGGUUGUAAAGUUCUGUUAUACGGGACGAAUGGCGUAGCGGUCAAUACCCGUUACGAGUGACGGUACCGUAAGAGAAAGCCACGGCUAACUACGUG